ensembl:lincRNA
GGGAGGAAAAGGGAAGAGAAUGAAGAAUUCUAGGGGUGCACCAGCACUGCUGAAGGGGAGACUUUUUGAGGUCUUCAGGUUUCGCUGGGAAAGUCAGAGGGGAUCCAGGACAGAGUCACGAGAUAGAGAGGGGGAGGGGGGGAGGACGACCAACGGUUCAAAACCACGCAGAGAAGCCCAGAGAAAGCUGAACUUGCUCUAGGGCUCACAGAGGUCUUGGGUGGCCCUGCCCAAGCUUUGCCCCUUCAAAGCCAUCACAGAGGCCAGCCAGCUGACAGGGUGCAAAGCCGUCACUGAGCGGGGAGGGAGUGGAGACAGCCGGUGUCACCCACUCUCAAGAAGUUUGGUGUGGAAGGUGGAGGGCAAAAUGGAGAUGGCGAGGAGCAGAAGUUCCAGUAACAUCUAAGGGACUGAAGAGUGGAGAACCUCCUCCCCUCUGUGGCACUGGCGAUAAACACACCAACAAACACCACCGCCGCUUCCCUCUCCGUCCUGCUGAGCUCCUGCUGAGCGCGAGAAAGGCUUUUGUUUUCAUUCCCUUUAUCAGGGAGAAAUGGUUCUGGGCUUAACCUGUUAAAAUGAAACCAGAGCGUGGCAGGGCAGCAAAGACAACCCUUUGACCCAGCGCUUGCGCCCGCACACCGGCUGUGCCCACCUGCUCUGUCUGCCCUGGGAGAUGGCCAAGUCCGGAUCAAAAGCACGCCUGCUCCGUGGAGACCCCAGGCUCUCUCAACUCCUAUCCCAAAUUAGCCGGAUCCAUUUGAAAGACCUGUUCAAAUAGUUAAGUUCAAAGGGCCCCGAGACUGGCUUGCCCGGCUCCGCGCACGCCAAUCAAAUCUUUCCUUUGUGGAGCCCGGGAGGGGCCCCGGCCCUGCGGAAGGGGCUCCCUCCAGCUGCGAGAUGAUUCCCUUUCCUCUGGACACAAGUGUGGGAUCCCAGAGAACAUUACCGAAACAGAUGGCUUUAAAAAUCCCCAUCCUUCCUGCAAAGCCCUUGUGCAACAGCUUAGGGAAGGGGAAAGCAGGUGAUACUCACAUUCAUUUUGGAAGGAUUCUAAGAAGUCAGCCAGGAGGAGAAGAAGGGGAAGGACAUCACUUGAGCCAGACACCAACACCUACAAAAGCUGUCCCGGUGCCUUGGGAGACUGAAAAUAAUUCCUGCAGGCAGACGCACGGGGUGUGGGAGGCUGAGCCUCGAAAAGAGGGUGUGGGUUUGGACUCUGGCCAGGCACCUGUAUCACUCCAGGGAAUCUGGACAUCAUCCCGCCAUGGUGAAUGGAUAAAUACAGCCAGCCUGGGUGACCAGCUCACAUCAGGAUGCAGGAGCCAUAGAGGUGUUCCUACAAUAAGAAAAAAAUCUCUACCAACCCAGCUUGGAAGUUAGGGGCAUUAGCGACAUCAGACACAUGUGGUUUCCUCUUCCCAGCUACAAGAACAGGAGCAAGCUAUUCAACCUCACCGUGCCUCAGUUUUCUUAUCAAUAAAAUGGGGGUUAUGGUAUCUGCUAUGAGAAUGAGAUGAAAUUGGGUAGGGAAAACUCUUCCCUUUUCUUCUGAUACACACACUCAAUAGAAAGUAGCUCUUGUUGUAUUUUCUAGUACUUGGACGUGUGCAGUGCCUCCCGUGGAGAAACGAGGAGAAAGCAAGGCUCUCCGUCCCGUCCAGUUCUCUCAUUCCCUUCUCUCCACCACACUCUGGCCUUCGACUCAGGAAGGUCUGCCCUUUGCUCCCUCCUCUUGUUACCGCUCAGCUCUUCUACACGACUUCCUUAAUAACAGUUUCAAUCUUUCUCUCACUCCAAACUCGGAGUGUGUUCAUUUCCGUGUCCUACACCACGGGCACACCCAUCCGUCAGCAGCCCCCGAAACGCAGUUAUCUGCUAACACGGCACGUCCUCAUGCGGUCAUGUCCACGGCUACCACCAUCUACAUGUGGUUGGUCCGCAGCCUCGGCUGGGCGCACACACCCACGCUUGUGAUCUUUCCAAAUGUCCCUGACCAUCCCACCUCUCCAGUUACACAAAGUCACUCUUCCCACCUCCUCAGAACUCUGAGCUCACGUCCACCUGCCUCGGUUCGAGCCAACACCCUCCUCUCCUCCAGCGGAACACUGUAGAUCUCAGGAGAGAACGCCACUUCCUGUCUCUGCACUAGGAAUCGUGUUUCCUGCCCGGGCUCCUUCACUCCCACCUCGGGGGCACCCCUCCUGCUGUGUGCUUUGGAGUCCCCCUCUUCUCAUUUCCUCUGGAACAUUCUUUGAUCAACCAUCACCCUAUCUUUCAGUUUCUCCUCUACUGACUUCAUUAGUUCAUUUAUUCGGUAAAUAUUUACAAAACAACCAUAACAUGCAGUCAGCACCACUGAUUCUGCGCAUAAAAGGAUAAAGAAAACACCAUAACCUAUAAACACAUUCAGGUCUCUUCUAUACAAUGAACUCCUUUUUCUCCUAAUGGGAUUUGAAUAUGUGCCUGUUCCUUAUAAUGAAAACAACAAUGAACAUAACACACAC